AAGUGUGAUCCUGUCCUCUGGGGUGUUAGCCACCCCUCCCAGUUUGGUGUCAUCUGCAAAUUUGAUCAGGAUUUAAUGUAUUUCAAUUUCUAUUAUUGUCAGCUGAUGAAGAAUCAUUAUUGAAACAGUUCGUUAUCCGGAAAAACUGUUCUAUGUUCGGAGCACCUGUCACCGCAUAUUUGCAGGAUUUUGAAUGUUGAAAGGCAUUUUGCCUCCAUCUCAGUGUUCCCUGAUACUGACCAACUACGCCUUCUAUUUUUGUUCAUUGAACAUUUAUUUGACUUCUAUUAUUUGUGACACUCAUAUAUUUUCUGUUUAUGAAUUGUGUAUAUAUACUUUAACACAUUAUUAGCCACGUGUUGCUUGGGGUUUUUCUAGAGGAAUAUAGACAGAUUCCACUACUAGUGCCUUCUGAAUUCUUUGUGCCUGCUGUUGAUCCAACCAUUUUAGGAACAUAAGAAGUUGCCUUAUACAAAGUCAGGCCAUUGGUCCAUCAAGCUCAGUAUUAUCUCUUCUGAUUGGCAGUGUCUCUCCAAGGACUCAGAUAAGAGUUUUUCCCUCGCCCUACUUAUAAGCAUCAGAGAUUGAAGCUGGGGGUUUCUGCAUUCAAACACAUGAACCAGCCGAUGAAGAAUUAUCAUUGAAACAGUUCAUUAUCCUGGAAGAACUGUUCUGUUUGCAGCUGUGCUCGGAGUACCCUACUUCUAUGUUUGGAACACAUAUCUAGGAUAUUGACUGUGGAAAGGCUUUUUGCCUCCAUAUUAAUGAUCUUGGACAGUGACUUACCACUCCUACUAUUCUUGUUUAUGGAACAUUUAUUUGAUACCUAUUAUUUGUGACUCCAUGCACAUAUUAUACAUCUGUUUAUGAAUUUUUGAAACAGUAUAAUAUUAUAAAGAUUUUGUUAGUAUUUA